UACGUAGGGAGCAAGCGUUUGUCCGGAAUGAUUGGGCGUAAAGCGUCCGCAGGUGGCAGUUCAAGUCUGCUGUCAAAGACCGGGGCUUAACUUCGGAAAGGCAGUGGAAACUGAACAGCUAGAGUAUGGUAGGGGCAGAGGGAAUUCCUGGUGUAGCGGUGAAAUGCGUAGAGAUCAGGAAGAACAUCGGUGGCGAAGCGCUCUGCUGGACCAUAACUGACACUCAGGGACGAAAGCUAGGGGAGCGAAUGGG
rnacentral:rRNA from 1 species